UACGAAGGGGGGCUAGCGUUGCUCGGAAUCACUGGGCGUAAAGGGUGCGUAGGCGGGUCUUUUAAGUCAGGGGUGAAAUCCUGGAGCUCAACUCCAGAACUGCCUUUGAUACUGAGGAUCUUGAGUUCGGGAGAGGUGAGUGGAACUGCGAGUGUAGAGGUGAAAUUCGUAGAUAUUCGCAAGAACACCAGUGGCGAAGGCGACUCACUGGACCUGUAUGACGCU
rnacentral:rRNA from 1 species